CAGGGUGUAGCUAUAAGACUAAAGCACUCAGCUUACACCUGAGAGACAUCUGUCACCAAUCAGAUCACCCUGA
rnacentral:tRNA from 1 species